GGAAAACGAAGUCAUCUAAGUCUUAUUCGGAGAUAUUGGAAAACGAAGUCCAUCUAAGUCUUAUUCGGAGAUUUUUGGAAAACGAAGUCCAUCUAAGUCUUAUUCGGAGAUUAUUGGAAAACGAAGUCCAUUUGAAGUGAGAUGUCCAGCUGAUGUGACUGAAAUCACUACACUAACCAGACGUCACUGUGUAAAGUCAAGUC